rnacentral:snRNA from 1 species
GAUUUGAAGGCGACCUCACUGAGACAUCUGUCACCCCCUGAAGCUGCAUGCUUGGUAGAAGAGGAAGACCUUCCCAGAAUAGAGGAGAAUGGGUCUUCUGUCAGAGGUAUAUGAAUAUCUUCCCUCUCUUGUUGGAACCUCAAAACAAACUGCCAAGAAACAAGUUCUCAAAAACAAAUCAGACACAAUAAAAUUUUAAAAUGCUGUGAGCCACA